UUGGCCUCCAGAGCAGGGGCGAUGUUCACAGAACCCGAAAUCAGCAGUUUGGGAAACUGCAUCCUAAGGAAAGGAAAUCUACUGGACUGGGGAAAAAAAGAAGCUGAGAGGACCCCUCAGCAAGAUCCGGUUGGUCUCAAACUCCUGGGCUCAAGUGAUCCUCCUCCCUCAGCCUCCCAUGAGAUGACUUUGACCAGAGAAGAAGAUGAGAUUGAGCUGGACGUGUGAAGGCCAAGAGGGAAAGUGGGCUUCAGCAGUGCUGUGGAGUAGAACUUUCUGU